rnacentral:rRNA from 1 species
UACGUAGGGGGCAAGCGUUGUCCGGAUUUAUUGGGCGUAAAGAGCGUGUAGGCGGUUUGGUAGGUCCGCUGUGAAAACUCGAGGCUCAACCUCGAGACGCCGGUGGAAACCAUCAGACUAGAGUCCGGAAGAGGCGAGUGGAAUUCCUGGUGUAGCGGUGAAAUGCGCAGAUAUCAGGAGGAACACCAAUGGCGAAGGCAGCUCGCUGGGACGGCACUGACGCUGAGACGCGAAAGCGUGGGGAGCAAACAGG